UCAUAUUGGUGGAUGCUGGGAAUGGUUAAAUCAUAUUGGUGGAUGCUGGGAAUGGUUAAAUCAUAUUGAUGGAUGCUGGGAAUGGUUAAAUCAUAUUGGUGGAUGCUGGGAAUGGUUAAAUCAUAUUGGUGGAUGCUGGGAAUGGUUGACUCAUAUUGGUGGAUGCUGGGAAAGGUUAAAUCAUAUUGGUGGAUGCUGGGAAAGGUUAAAUCAUAUUGGUGGAUGCUGGGAAUGGUUAAAUCAUAUUGAUGGAUGCUGGGAAUGGUUAAAUCAUAUUGGUGGAUGCUGGGAAAGGUUAAAUCAUAUUGAUGGGUACUG